rnacentral:rRNA from 1 species
UACGUAGGGUGCGAGCGUUGUCCGGAAUUAUUGGGCGUAAAGAGCUCGUAGGCGGUUUGUCGCGUCUGCUGUGAAAUCCCGAGGCUCAACCUCGGGCUUGCAGUGGGUACGGGCAGACUAGAGUGCGGUAGGGGAGACUGGAAUUCCUGGUGUAGCGGUGAAAUGCGCAGAUAUCAGGAGGAACACCGGUGGCGAAGGCGGGUCUCUGGGCCGAUACUGACGCUGAGGAGCGAAAGCGUGGGGAGCGAACAGG